rnacentral:tRNA from 1 species
UGAUGGCUGAGUGGUUAAGGCAUUGGACUCGAAACCCAAUAGAGCUUUCCUGUGCAGGUUCAAAUUCUGCUCA